rnacentral:rRNA from 1 species
UACGGGGGGGGCAAGCGUUGUUCGGAAUUACUGGGCGUAAAGGGCUCGUAGGCGGCCAACUAAGUCAGACGUGAAAUCCCUCGGCUUAACCGGGGAACUGCGUCUGAUACUGGAUGGCUUGAAUCCGGGAGAGGGAUGCGGAAUUCCAGGUGUAGCGGUGAAAUGCGUAGAUAUCUGGAGGAACACCGGUGGCGAAGGCGGCAUCCUGGACCGGCAUUGACGCUAAGGAGCGAAAGCCAGGGGAGCAAACGGG